rnacentral:rRNA from 1 species
UUUAUGGAGAGUUUGAUCCUGGCUCAGGAUGAACGCUGGCGGCGUGCCUAAUACAUGCAAGUCGAGCGAACGGACGAGAAGCUUGCUUCUCUGAUGUUAGCGGCGGACGGGGGAGUAACACGUGGAUAACCUACCUAUAAGACUGGGAUAACUUCGGGAAACCGGAGCUAAUACCGGAUAAUAUUUUGAACCGCAUGGUUCAAAAGU